UAAGCCUGCGAAGGUGGCCUGUGAGGGUUGCUGGAGGUAUCAGAAGUGCGAAUGCUGACAUAAGUAACGAUAAAGCGGGUGAAAAGCCCGCUCGCCGGAAGACCAAGGGUUCCUGUCCAACGUUAAUCGGGGCAGGGUGAGUCGACCCCUAAGGCGAGGCCGAAAGGCGUAGUCGAUGGGAAACGGGUUAAUAUUCCCGUACUUGGUGUUACUGCGAAGGGGGGACGGAGAAGGCUAUGUUGGCCGGGCGACGGUUGUCCCGGUUUAAGCGUGUAGGUGUGUGUUCCAGGUAAAUCCGGUUCACUUUAACACUGAGGCGUGACGA
rnacentral:rRNA from 2 species